UGCUGCCGUACCAUGCUGAAUAUACCGGUUCUCGUUAGAUCACCGAAGUUAAGCAUCAUUGGGCGCGGUCAGUACUUGGGUGGGUGACCACCUGGGAACACUGCGUGCCGUU